rnacentral:rRNA from 1 species
UACAUAGGGGACGAGCGUUGUCCGGAAUUACUGGGCGUAAAGGGCGCGCAGGCUGCGCGUCGAGUCGGCUGUUAAAGAUCCGGGCUUAACCCGGUGAAGCGGUCGAGACCAACGAGCUGGAGUGCUGCAGAGGCAAGUGGAAUUCCCGGUGUAGCGGUGAAAUGCGUAGAUAUCGGGAAGAACACCGGUGGCGAAGGCGGCUUGCUGGGCAGCAACUGACGCUGAAGCGCGAAAGCCAGGGGAGCAAACGGGAUUAGAUACCCGCGUA